GGAGGUUAUUGCCGCCGACGAGAAAAGGUCUGAUCUUGAACAUGAGCUUUCUCAGAAGGAAAUAAAUUUAGAAAAGUUGAGGAGAAUUGCUAAUACAGGUAUCCCUGAGGGAGGAGGUUUGCGCGCAGCAACUUGGAAGCUUCUCUUAGGUUAUUUGUCUCCUUCCCGUGACUUGUGGGAAAAGGAACUGACUGGGAAUAGACAAAAAUAUGCCAAGCUAAAAGAGGAACUUCUAUGUAGUCCUGUGAUGUUGCUGGACCACUUAAGAGACAU
rnacentral:misc_RNA from 1 species